ensembl:lncRNA
GGGGGAGGCUGGAGGGGGAUUAGCUGUUGGCCUUCAGAUGUGAGCCUCCACCCUGUGAGGUGACUCAGUAACCUGAUCUCUGUGUUUUUAAGGAUCCGUCCUGAUGGAGCCAGAGGAGCCCCCCCCCCCCCCCCCCCCCCCCCCCUUCCUGGUAUCAGAGCCUCACUCCAUUGAUCUGUGGAUCCUCCUCCAUCAGUCGGCUGCUCCCUGUGCUCCUGUUUCCAUAUUCCAGCUGUGGGCACGCGGGCAGGAGGGGGGGGGAUCCAGACUCCGUGGGUCCACAAAGAGCUGCAGGAAGUGAGGAGGCUUUAAAUGUAUGAACCUUUCCUUCUGAUGUGAUCAGCUGCUGAUCCUGACUCAGACCUCAUCAGUGGAGCCGUCUGAAGCUCUCCGACCAGACAGAGUAAACAACAACAACAACAACAACAGAAACACACUUUAGGCAUGAAGGAGCUUUUGCUUUGUUUGGGAUUCAUUUCCCUUUUACUCUCUUCCAGCUGUACAGUCAUUAGUCCGGUGGGAAUAAACCAAAUGUACAGAAUGUUUUAUUUUUACGCAUUGUCUCGGGUCAUUGUGAGCGACGCACUAAAUCUGUUGUACCAGUUGUAUUGUUAUUGUUGUCAUCGUUUCCUCUUCUCGGCGUCACUGCUCCCCUCGUGGAUGAAACCCGACGAGGCAGCGAGAAGCUGAAGAAGCUCAGAUAUUCAUGAGAAGGAUCCAAAGCAAACACAGAGAUCCGGUGAGAAAAAGCCCCGGACCACCCAGAGAGACGCCGCUCUAAUCUGACUCAGGAUCAGCGUUAAUAAGCAAAUUGUUGUAUCACCAUUUCAAAGAGCUUUUCAAACCGAGACUUGUUUUAUGAGCGAGUGCUGCUGGCGGCCGGUUGGCUUUAUGAGAGAAAGCUGUGCUUAGAAUGUAUAAAAUACACUUAUGUGCAAGACUCAACGCUGCUCUGCUGAAGGGUCGCAUUGUAUUUGAAACAGUUAUGGGAAUAUGGGAAUUUAAAAAAAUGUAUUCCAACCUGGUCAGCUGGAUAAGUCUGUGUUUAGCCUAGCUUAGCACAAACAAAGCUAUCGUAAUCAACGUAGCGUUGCUGGUUGAUUACGAAACAGCAUUUAGCAAACAUAGCCACAGCUAGCAUGCUUCAUGUUAGCAGCCCACAGCUAGCAUGCUUCAUGUUAACAGCCCACAGCUAGCAUGCUUCAUGUUAGCAGCCAACAGCUAGCAUGCUUCAUGUUAGCAGCCCACAGCUAGCAUGCUUCAUGUUAACAGCCCACAGCUAGCAUGCUUCAUGUUAGCAGCCCACAGCUAGCAUGCUUCAUGUUAACAGCCCACAGCUAGCAUGCUUCAUGUUAGCAGCCCGCAGCUAGUUGAUUAGUCAUAGUUACAUAGUUGCAUUUACCAGAUUAUCCAACAGUCAUCAUUAGCUUCAUGUAGCUGUUUCUUCUGUUUGUAGCUAAUUAGCUUAGUAGCUUAGUUCUCACUCAUUCCUGAAACCUUGUCUAAUCAUUUUGUUCAACAGGUUUCUAUGAGUUUUGACAAUUUUGAACAUUUGGAUUUGGAUUCCAAUUGAAAUUGCUUACUAACAGAACAGACACAUGUCAAAAAAGUUACUUAAGGUUAGUCACAACCUUUCUAUCAAAGCUGUUUUAAAUAUGUUGAGUACAGAGUUGUGCCGUAAGGUUCCUCGUAUAACAAGCGCUGCUUCUGAGUCGGCCAGGAAGUAAAUUACCGUCUCCCAGCAUGCCGAGCAGCCAGAGGACAGAUGUCGGUCUAAUUACAGGACUGAAAGAAGCUAAUCCUACCGGCCUCUUGUGCUCCUGGACCCCUCCAUUGGCUGGAGCCCCACUCCCCCACGUGGACGCGGGGGUCCGGGCCACGGGGGGGCCACGUGUGUUUGCUUAUCUUCCCUGUUUGAUGCACUGGAAUCUUGAGCUUUGGGGCUGAAUAUUUUGGGGACUUCUUUUGAAUGUCCAACUGUAAAAGGUUUAGAGGCCGAUUCUUCUAACAAGUGUGAAACAUGUGGCAGAAGAAACCCUUUUAAGUCUUUAAGUCCAGAGGCAACGAAGAACAUCAAGAAACAGUAAACAGACUUCUCCUUCUCUGAGGGGGGGUCAUGUAGUGUAAACGAGAGCAGCUCCAAAAGACUUCAACUUUCUCCUGCAGCUCCACCCUCAUUAAGAGCUUUGCCACCCACGAAGAGACACCAGAGUCUUCAGUGUCCUCUCCAAAGUCCCUUCAUUCACCCACGAAGAGACACCAGAGUCUUCAGCGUCCUCUCCAAAGUCCCUUCAUUCACCCACGAAGAGACACCAGAGUCUUCAGCGUCCUCUCCAAUGUCCCUUCAUUCACCCACGGACGACCAUGCCGAGACACCAGAGCCCUAUGUAGCGCUGCUAACAUGUAGCAUUGCUCUUGCUGGACAUAUGGACAUUGGUCGUAGAAUAAUUCAUAUUAAUAGCAAUAUGUUUAUAGUAUAAAGGUGCAUUUGGUUUCUCGCUAAUGUUAUUGCUAGAAAAAUGCUAUUCAAGAAGAUGUGUUUGUUGGCUAGCUUAAUUAACCAGCUACGGUUAUUAAGUACACUGUGAAAUACCAUAAGGAUUUACAGGCAACAAUAAAUACUGUAGAGGUACAAAGUAAAGGACGGUCAAGUAGCUAAUGUUAACUUUAGCUAAGCUGGUUAGCCAGUUAGUUGCCUCGUCAUGUUAGCUGAUGAAUGAAUGAAUCAUUAAUCGUUACGCACGUUAGUAUCAUGGAACAAAUGAUCCAAAUUAAAUGCGGGACCCUACAGACAGGAACUUCAUUCUGAAUAUGACAGAUUUGGAUAUCAGAUUAACAUAUGAAUAUUAUCCUAACGUAAACCUGAGCAGGUGAGGUCGAGCAGCUGUCGCUCUGUCUUUGAGGUUUUUGGGAGCGCUUGUUUCCAUGAUGUUGUUGUCGUUGUUCGACGAGCAGGAGAUAAUGAAGGGAGGCUGGCGUCCUGCGGCUAACGCUCACUGUUUAUGAUAUUUAGGCCCAUUAGAGCCGAGCAGAGGAUCCCAUGGGCACAGAGGGGACGUAAUGAGAUGUGAGUUCUCUGUGGGGCCGAACAGGGAGGGGCCUAAUGACAUCAGAGUUCAGCUCAGAUCACAGGAACAAACACGCCUGAAUGUUGGUUUGUUAUGAGAGAAAGUUAGAGAAAGACCUUAAGUGACUCCCUGCGGACAGAAUGUUCCCUUUGAGUACAGAAAGAGGAAAUACACCAGUAGUCUAAGCGACAUACGUCUGAAUACUUCCACGACCAACUCAUAAUGUCAAGUAAUAAAAUACUGGAUAUUCAAAGUACAAAGACAAGUAUGCACCACAUGACAGAGGAGCUCUGUGCUGGGAACAGUGAAAUAGUGUGAUUGAAGCACACACACACAAGUAGUAAUAAUAAGACACGUUUGCACGUCCAUGUGCACGGAUGUGGUUGUGCCAACAUUUCCUCUUAUGUGUGUGUGAGGUCACAUCCUGCAUGUUAGUGGCUAAUGUUAAAAGGUGUUGGCGUGUAUUAUAACAACAGAGCCAUGUUCAUUUAAUUCCUGAUACAACUCAAUACAAACUCCCCAGACUCCUUUUGAACAUGGAACCCAGAGGAGCAGGGUUCUUCUCCCCCAGAGGAGCAGCUCUGCACCUCCUCCGUCCCUCACAAUGAGGCCUCUGUUGGGGGGUAAUGAUUCGGUUAUAAAGCUGAGGAGCCGGUGCAGGAGGACGCAUGUGGCUCACAGUGAGACCUUUUGACGUGAGGACGCGUGUUGCCUCACCGCUGACUCAUAUGUUAAUGAUAUGUUAAUGAGACUCCUGGAGAACCCAGUGAUUGGCUCUUUAACCGAUUGCUAAAUGAAGAAAGUGGCCGAGGCAAAUGGAGAUUUAUUUUAGCGGUGGCGGCGGCUGUGUGCUUUGGACCGCAGGGUUACUUUCUAAACACAUGUUGGUGAGGGGGGGGGGGGUCUAAGUGUGUUUGGACCUGUGGUUUUUCAAAAGAGGAAGGAGAGCUGCUGACUACUUCUCGCCUCUGGGUUAGAGUCCAUCCCGCCGCCCAGCUAAUGCCCCCAUACCACAGACAAACACAGCAGGGUGCCGAAGCCGAAGGUAGUUAUUGACCUUUACCUUUUUCCCACCUAGAGACACCUUGAGCUCACUCGAAUGUGACCAUGAAUCCCGAGGGUUCAGAUAGUGAAUCACGCUACCAGACGGGGUCUCUACCCCCCUCUGUGGCCUCUCUGAGGUCUGAAGGGGUUAAAUGUUCGGACGUACCUCAGCGCCUUUGUUGAGGUUUGUUUUCUUAUAGAAGGACCAGGUGUUCUUCCACCUGGUCCUCACAUCUGAACCGCGGGAGGAGCAGAGCGGUUCUGACCCGCUUUGAAGCCGCUGGAAUAACCCGUUUACAUCCCUCAUGAUCCGCCGCCUCCCUUCAUCUCCCCUUCUCACAACAACCGCGCCGAGCACCAACAAACGGAAGGGUUCCAUUUCCAGGCGGCGGAGCCAAACUCCACAGGCUGAGCGGGGGUCAGAACGGGGGCCGAGGGGGGCGAGGGGGGACUGUUGACCCGCGGGGCGUUCCCUUAUUGAUCUUACGUAUCUGCCCGGGGCGGAUAACCUCGCUGUUUGAACAGGAUCUAGAGGCUCGAUUCGUUCUCAUGAGCGAGGGUCAAUCAAUCAAUCAAUCAAUUGAUGAGUCAGUCAGACAUGUUGGAGAUCAUGGACACAGGUCACAAGGACGUGUUGGGGUCAUGGACACAGGUCACAAGGACGUGUUGGGGUCAUGGACACAGGUCACAAGGACGUGUUGGGGUCAUGGACACAGGUCACAAGGACGUGUUGGGGUCAUGGACACAGAUCACAAGGACGUGUUGGGGUCAUGGACAGAGAUCACAAGGACGUGUUGGGGUCAUGGACAGAGAUCACAAGGACGUGUUGGGGUCAUGGACAGAGAUCACAAGGACGUGUUGGGGGUCAUGGACACAGGUCAUGAGGACGUGUUGGACACCUUUACAAACGUCUCCACAUGGAGUCACAGUCUCGUCUCCGUCUCUGGCUCCGUCUCUGUACCUCGUGAACUUGUGUCCUCUGAGAGACGUUCCUCCUCCGUUCCCACGCGUCACCCAAAAUCUUCAGCUGGACCCAAAUCAGAAAAACAAACGUCCAUUAGCUGAAGAGCCUCCGUCAGGUGGAGCCGUAUCGGACUCUCCAUCUUCCUGCCGCCUGUUUUUCUUUCAUUGAAGCUGCUUCGGGCUUUUUUCUUCCUCCGGAGGAACGUCGUUGUGCAACGUCUGAGUGUGAGAACAGAAGCAGACGGUAAAUCAUCAGCGUGUUGAUGAGGAGCAUCCUGAGGUCCUCAUGAUCUCCAGUUACUCCUAAGUUUAUAUAUACACAUAAUAAUACACAUGUAUGAUCCAUCCAGUGGACUCAACUGUCUGAUCAAUGAUUCAAACGCACAAAGACACACAAGAGAACAGAUGUAUUUUACAUUUUAUAUUUUAAUACAUUCCUUCCUUCCCCUCCUCCUGCCUCCUUCUCACAUCCUUCCCUCCUUCUUCUUUCCUAACGGAGGAAAAUGUUUCCACAAACCUGCUGAUAUUUGUACUUGAAGAAUGCAGUACUUGUACUUUCCCCCCGUGGUAUUUAGAGGACAUCUGCUGAGUGUCUUUCCAGAGAGACCUUCCAUUUAUUUUGAAAAGACUCAUCAGGAAGUCAGAGUCCAAACAGAGUCCAGAGAUUCCACACACACACACACACACACACACACAC